UACGGAGGAGGCAAGCGUUAUCCGGAAUUAUUGGGCGUAAAGCGUCCGUAGGUGGUUAUCCAAGUCAGUUGUUAAAGCGUGGAGCUUAACUCCAUAAGGGCAAUUGAAACUGGUUAGCUAGAGUGCGAUAGGGGCAAGGGGAAUUCCCAGUGUAGCGGUGAAAUGCGUAGAUAUUGGGAAGAACAUCGGUGGCGAAAGCGCCUUGCUGGGUCUGCACUGACACUGAGGGACGAAAGCUAGGGGAGCGAAAGGG
rnacentral:rRNA from 1 species